UAUGUGCGCACACUUAGCGCUAGUGAUAUUUGUUUAAUUUGAGUUUAUAAUUAAUUUGUUAACAAACAUUAGCAACCGCAUUUGUAACAAAAAUAAUAAGAUUCCGUGUUUGUCGAAAUUUAGAAGACAUAGCAGACAUUGCGGCCGCCAUUGUCAGUUGUUCCCCAAUAUCGGUGCUCCGCUGGCGUCGCUUAGUUCAUUUGUUCUCUCGUCUUUGUUACGUUCACCAUUCUUGUUUUCGCGUGCAUUCUUGUACUAUUCACUUGCCAUUCGGUCAGUCAUUUAAUUACGUCACAUACAUACAUAUGUAAAUGAAUGUGUGUGUAUGGAUUUUGUUGUUCGUUUUGAUGUGUUAGACAAUCAUGAACAGCGAAAGUGAUGUUUAUGAUAUUGUUGCGACUAGUGACGGACCAAAGUUGCAGGGCUUUCGCAAAAAGUCUUUAGAUGAGUUGUACAGUUCUAAGGUGCAGCAUGAAAUUGAAUCCAAUUCGACACCUGUGCAAUUGUUGCGACGUGCCAGUGGGACAGUGACACAGAGCAUACUCAGUGACUUGGAGCCGGAAACGCAACACUUGCUGGGUGGAGCUGUGACCGGGCCAAGAGAUGGUGCCCAAAAGCGGCCGCAGCCCCCACCGCGAUCCAACAUGAAUACCAGGGGACAGCAGAACCCUUUCAACGAGAGUGGAACAGGCAAGCACAUCAAGCAACUGCAAAAAGUGCAGCUAAGCAUACCGGCGCACAGUGACAUCAUGACACAAUGUGGCAACACUUCUGGUAGUCCCGCUUCGCAAUCACAUACCAAAUUAGACAUACACAAUUUCUCAGAGGACCACAAUAAUGGGUCGUCUGAAGUCGUUGGCGAGAAUGUUGGCGAGACGGCACAAAACGCUGCAACAAUAAUUUUAACGCCGACAUCAUUAAAUAUAACAAACACAUCGCCAAAUGCGCCCGGUGGCGGCGGCAACAUCAACAACAGGACAAACGCAGACGUUGGCAACAAUGGCAGGGGUUAUCCAGCGCACAGCGAACAAUACAAAGGACCCAAAUGGUGGCGAAACUUUGUUGUACACUGGUCUCUUGUGUCGGAGCAUAUUGCCCUGCUUAUGAUUUUUCUAGCGCUUUGGACCUUGGCCUUGGCAUUGUUGCCACAGUAUGCUGCACCUGAAACGGUGAUAAUGCGCAUUAUACUACUUUUCGUUGGUGCUCAAAUAUCUGGCAUAUUAGUUACCUUUAUACAUUUGCCAGACAUGCUGGGUAUGCUUUUGUUCGGUGUCCUUUACACCAAUGUUGGCUUGGCCAAUUUCGAAGGCUAUGAGCGCUUUGAACUAUUUUUAAGAGAACUGGCAUUGACUAAUAUCAUGCUCCUAGCUGGUCUCGGACUCGAUGGCAGUGCAUUUAGGCGGUUAUGGCUUAUGAUACUCCGGCUGACACUCGUGCCGACAAUAGUGGAGGUUGCCGUUAUAGCUGUGCUGGCAUAUUUUACAUUGUCCAUGCCCUGGAUGUGGGGGAUAGCUCUGGGCCUGGUCAUCACAGCAGUCUCACCCAAUGUUGUCGUCACAGUCAUGCUCAAGUUAAAGGAGGAUCGCCUGGGUCUGAACAGUGGCAUACACACCCUAAUAUACGCUAUGACCACGUGCAAUGACGUCGUUGCUAUUUUCAUGUUUGGCGUUGUAAUCAGCAUUAUAUUCUCCACAAGCUCACUGACACAAAAAGUAUUGCAAGGACCCAUUGGUAUUGGUAUUGGACUUGUUUUCGGCUAUCUUUACGGCAUGAUGCUUCACUAUUUGCCGUCGCGGAAUGCGGUCUAUGCAAAUGGACUGCGCUUUGCUUUGACAAUCUUGGGUGGCUCAAUAGCUGUGAUGGGCAGCCGAAUUAUCGGCUAUACUUCGGCCGGUGCCUUAGGUUGUGUAAUGUUGGCCUUUAUAGCAGGCAUUGGUUGGAAAAGGGAGGAGCACAAACUGACCCCACAUCAAAUGCAAGCACAUCAAAUAGCAAGUGUUCCUAAGCGUCUGGAUCUACUGUGGAAAUUUCUAAAGCCCGUCUCUUUUGCACUAAUUGGCAAGGAAAUCAAUUUUGCCGUGCUUGAAGGUCGCGUAAUUGGCUAUGGAGCGCUGCUGGUGCUGCUUGGAAGUUUGCUCCGAUUAGCUUUUGCAUAUUUAUCUACAUAUGGCGGAAAUCUGUCGAGAAAGGAGCGUGCUUACAUUACAAUUUCCGGUUUUCCCAAAGCAACCGUCCAAGCUGCCUUGGGUCCGGUUGCUUUAGAUUUGGCUCGCUCAGCCAAAGUCGCAAGUGAUUUAACAUUGGCCAACAACGUGCUCAUAAUUUCGGUUCUGGCUAUUAUUUUCACAGCACCGUUGGGUGCUAUUUUGAUGCUUCGUCUUGCUCCGCUCUGGCUUAAACAUGGAGAUCCUGAGGACAUAGCUGAAACGCCUGUAACACCCGGUUCAUCGGAACCAGGCCCACUGACCAAUGUGGGUGAACUUAAUUCAGCGAACGGUCAACAAAAUAUAAAGUAGAGUAGCGAGAGCGCCGAUAAUUUAUCAACUUGACCAUUCGUGGAAAUAAUUGACCUAGGCACAACAACUUAAAGAAGACAAAACGUGGCGUGACGCAAAAAGGCCUGGAUAAAUACGAUGUUGUCAAAAUAUCUCCUGCCAAUCUGUCAGCUAGUCGGUACACGGCUAAAUGAUCAAGGACAUUUAGCGGCAGCUGCUUACGAUUCACAUGCGAAUGCUCAUCCAAACAGGUGAACAAAGACUAAGUAAGGAAACGGUAAUGCUGUGAGUGAAAUGCUUUAUAUUAUACGAGAGUAUACUUAACAAAAUUGUUGGAUCUAACAACGAGAUAUGGAAAAAAUACAGAAUUUCGAUAACGAUUUUAUGAAAACGGGCCAAGUGAGGCUAUUGAUCCUGAGUCUCGAGCACCGUCAUGUGUGUAGGAUGUGCAGCCG